GCAGGAGGCCCCCAGGAAGCUGGAUAAAGAUCAGGUCUCUCUGCAGAAGCAGGAAGUUGUGCCCUUGCCUCGUGGCUUGUUUUCUGAGAACCGGUGGAAGUGCAGACCUUAGACGGCCUCCUGGGAGGGGGGACGGAGACGGGGCCCCGCAGUGGAGGCCACCUCUCUGCAGAGCUGCUUGGUUGGCACGGGCAGAGCUGAGAGCAUGUGCUGCAGACAGAGGCCCACAGGGAGGCCAGCCCUGCCCUGGAGCCCAGAGCUGCUCCCCCGUGUCCAGACCCAGCAGGAAACAAAGUCACAUCUGGCCCCUCCUCUGGUCAGAAGCUGCACUUCCCCCCAGAGAAAGCCAAGCACCAAGGACCCACCAGGCCACGUGUACUGACC
rnacentral:lncRNA from 1 species